AUACGUAGGGUGCGAGCGUUAAUCGGAAUUACUGGGCGUAAAGCGUGCGCAGGCGGUUGUUUAAGACAGAUGUGAAAGCCCCGGGCUCAACCUGGGAAUUGCGUUUGUGACUGGACGACUAGAGUGCAACAGAGGGGGGUGGAAUUCCACGUGUAGCAGUGAAAUGCGUAGAGAUGUGGAGGAACACCGAUGGCGAAGGCAGCCCCCCUGGGUUGACACUGACGCUCAUGCACGAAAGCGUGGGGAGC
rnacentral:rRNA from 1 species